rnacentral:snRNA from 1 species
AGCUUCGCCCAGUGGCAGUAUUGCAGCCAAUGAAGUUUAUCUGAUGUGUGAUUAUUGCUAGUUGAAAACUUUCCCCAAAGUCUGGUAAGCUCAAAACAAAGGAAGAGUGUGUCUUUUGGUUCAAAGGCCAUCAGGUAGAAGGAAUUUUCUCUAACUCUGCCUUUUUAUUUAUUUCAGAAUCCACAUUUAUUUG